AAAUAGAAGAGAAAGUGAAUUUCUAGUGUUUGGUUUGAAAGAAAACAAAAAAGAAAAUGAAAAUAAUUUUCGCUGAAGAAAAAUCCAUACAUAUCUUUUCUGUCCCCCUUUCUCUCAGCUGCCCAGGUGAAAACGAGGGAGAGAGACGGAAUCAAUGCCUCCGACUUCCCCGAUCUCUCACCUCCCUCUCUCUCCAAAACUCCGAUCAAUCUCCCAUCUCUCUCUCCCCCCUCAUUCUCUUUCUCUCUCUUCCCAAAUCUAGGGCUACAAAGGUAGGGUUUCUCCAUUCGAGCUCUCGUCAGCUUGAGAUACGAGGGUGAGCUUCGGAUCUCGUCAACUUGAGAUCCGAGGGUGAGCUUUUGAAGCGACAACGCCAAAGAACCCAACUGAUUGCCGAUCUUCGCUGCUCGCUUUCUUGCUGAUCUUGAUGGAGCCGUCUCCGGCAGCGAAGCUCGCCGCUCAGAGCAGCAAGCCUCGUCUGUUUACUGGGAGCUCGUCUUAUCUGGACGAGGAUCUCGAUAUAAUUGAGCUAUCGGGCCCGUCUUCUUCUUCUUGGAAUACAAAUAAUCAGAAGAGAAAGAGAACCCAGGGAGAGAAGCAGAUGAGAUCUGAAGCCUUUGAUUGAAGUCAGGAAGAAAUAUUGAUGUUAUUGCUUUGUAGGAAUAUUUGAAUGAAUCAAAUAUUCUGAGCAUAUUUCUUGAUGUUCACUUUUUGUUUUGCCUUUUUUAGUUAGGACCUUGGACUAGUCGAGAACACAAAGUUGAACUAAAAGUACUUGUUGAAUGUUGGGCUUGUACAACUAUUGCAACUACAAUUUUGUUGGUUGUUUUUAGUAGUUAUUGUCAAAGCAAUGAAAACAAUGUAAUUUUUGUUUGAUUA